GGUCUUGCGAUAAUUACGAUUUAAUGGAAACCAGGCUUUACAAGCUUCGUUUGGGUGUUUAAUAGCCAUUGCUUGCUUACCAUUUCCCUUGUAUUUCAACUUUGCACUAUCCCUGCUCACGGGGAUCUUUCAGUUUAUUUUUUGUUGUUUCUGCGAUGCAAUGUAAUACCUUAAUUAUUUAGUUCCGUUGGUUCAGCAACCUUGACGUUCACUUAAAUUGACCAGGAAAUGUUUAACAGAAAGUUGAAACCAGGCCUUCAAAAUUGCAGUACCUUAUUAUAUACUUAUUUCUUGACCAUAACAGUUUGAUUUCAUUUACCGCAUUGCAGUAAGAAAAUAAAAUUGUGAAACUGAGGUUUUUGAAAAAGCAAACGCUUAUGGAGCGUUAAUUUCAAAGCUGAUAUUCGCAAAACCACG